AGAGUUUGAUCCUGGCUCAGGACGAACGCUGGCGGCGCGCCUAACACAUGCAAGUCGAACGAGCGAGAGAGAGCUUGCUUUCUCGAGCGAGUGGCGAACGGGUGAGUAACGCGUGAGGAACCUGCCUCAAAGAGGGGGACAACAGUUGGAAACGACUGCUAAUACCGCAUAAGCCCACGGCUCGGCAUCGAGCAGGGGGAAAAGGAGCAAUCCGCUUUGAGAUGGCCUCGGCGUCCGAUUAGCUAGUUGGUGAGGUAACGGCCCACCAAGGCGACGAUCGGUAGCCGGACUGGAGAGGUUGAACGGCCACCAUUGGGACUGAGACACGGCCCAGACUCCUACGGGAGGCAGCA
rnacentral:rRNA from 1 species